rnacentral:rRNA from 1 species
GAUGAACGCUGGCGGCGUGCUUAACACAUGCAAGUCGAACGGAAAGGCCAGUGCUUGCCCUGGUACUCGAGUGGCGAACGGGUGAGUAACACGUGGGUGAUCUGCCCUGCACUUCGGGAUAAGCCUGGGAAACUGGGUCUAAUACCGGAUAGGACAAUGGUUUGGAUGCCGUUGUGGAAAGUUUUUUCGGUGUGGGAUGAGCUCGCGGCCUAUCAGCUUGUUGGUGGGGUAAUGGCCUACCAAGGCGUCGACGGGUAGCCGGCCUGAGAGGGUGUACGGCCACAUUGGGACUGAGAUACGGCCCAGACUCCUACGGGGGGCAGCAGUGGGGAAUAUUGCACAAUGGGCGCAAGCCUGAUGCAGCGACGCCGCGUGGGGGAUGACGGCCUUCGGGUUGUAAACUCCUUUCGCUAGGGACGAAGCGUAUUUGUGACGGUACCUGGAGAAGAAGCACCGGCUAACUACGUG